rnacentral:rRNA from 1 species
AUUUACGGCCAUGCUCUCCUGAACAAGCCCGAUCUUGUCUGAUUUCAGAAGCUAAGCAGGGUCGAGCCUGGUUAGUACUUGGAUGGGAGACCACCUGGGAAGACCAGGUUCUGUAGGCA